GAGAGAGAGAGAGAGAGAGCGUUGAUGCAGAGUUAAGGAGGCAGAGCUGCACACCUUGCCCGGCCAAAGCUGCAGGAAGCUCCUGUACCCUCAGCCCUGUCGGUACCAGGUAGAGGUCAGAGGAGAACAAAAGGGAAAAAGAGAAAAGCCCCGCGGACCCUGACAAGGGUGUAUGGCUGGAAGACCCCAUAUCCACGGUGAGAAGUGUCCCCCAGCCCUGAACUGGCCAAUAUGGGGAAGCGUGAUCACUUACAUCUUCCCAGGAGGAACAUGUGAGAAGCUUGCUCCUACCAAGACCACCUCCCAGGUGGUGAGGGUUUCUCACAACCAACGCCACCAGGAAGCUUGUUGUGUAACUGAGGAUGACCUUGAAUUUGUGACCUUCCUGUCUCCACCUCUGGAGUGCAAGGAUUAAAGGGACUCCUCACCUUGAUGACUGCAUCCUCAAACCAUGAGCCAACAGAAGCCAUUCCUUCCUUAAAUUACUUCUUUCCAGUCCUGCAGGUUCCUCAAGACCCUCCCACUUCUGUGACCCUGCCCCCUGGCUGUUCUGGUGUGCACCAGAGAGUACCAAAAUGGAGAGGGAGAGCCUCCCCCUCACCUGGGGAAGAAGACGUGUCAGCAUCCUCAAGACUCAGGGAGCCAACGGAGUGUCAAACCCUUGCAGCUCACACGUGCUCCUGAAUGGACGGGGUCCACCCAAUGGCGAGUGAUUUCACCUGGACAGAGUCAUCGCUGUGUGCAGAGCCCAUGCUUGGGGCAGAAUGAGCCCUGCUGAGCCACCUGGUUCCUUCUGGGAAAAUUCCAGGGGUAAAAUUCCAGAGACCUAGUCCCUGACACCCCUCCCUUCCCUGGGCUCCACAGAGAGACCUUGCAGCCCAGAGAAUUUCCUAGGCAGACUGCAGGUCUUCUGGGCUGCCUUUUUUAGCAUGUCUUUGGUGGCCCCAUGGCUGGGCCAUUGGCCUGGCGGGGAGUUUGUCACUGGCUCCUGGGAAAGUUUAGUGAUAACACUCUGGAGUUCCAGUCCCUCGCCUGGCCUCCAAAGGGAGCCUCCAAGUUUGAGCCCCUGGGCUCGUUAUCUCUAGCUUCCCACUGCUGGGUUAGAGGGCUUCUCCUAGGGUCUCCCUUACAGAGGGGUUGAUGGUCCCCAGAACCAGGAGUGGCCUCAUUCUCCAGGGACUGUCCUCCACGGAGUGUUGAUCCAACAGGCUCUCCACCACAAUUAGCCCUUCCCUCAUC